GAUACGACCGUACCGCAAACCGACACUGGUGCGCGAGAUGAGUAUUCUAAGGCGCUUGAGAGAACUCAGGAGAAGGAACUCGGCAAAUUGACACCGUAACUUCGGAAGAAGGUGUGCCCUAUUAGUGUGUAGUGAACAACGAAGCAUGAAUGGGUUGCAAAAAAUCGGUGGCUGCGACUGUUUAUUAAAAACACAGCACUCUGCAAACACGAAAGUGGACGUAUAGGGUGUGACGCCUGCCCGGUGCUGGAAGAUUAAAUGAUGGGGUGCAAGCUUUGAUUGAAGUCCCAGUAAACGGCGGCCGUAACAAUAACGGUCCUAAGGUAGCGAAAUUCCUUGUCGGGUAAGUUCCGACCUGCACGAAUGGCGUAACGAUGGCCACACUGUCUCCUCCUGAGACUCAGCGAAGUUGAAAUGUUUGUGAUGAUGCAAUCUCCCCGCGGAAAGACGGAAAGACCCCAUGAACCUUUACUGUAGCUUUGUAUUGGACUUUGAACAGAUCUGUGUAGGAUAGGUGGGAGGCUUUGAAGCAGGGUCGCUAGAUCUUGUGGAGCCAACGUUGAAAUACCACCCUGGUGUGUUUGAGGUUCUAACCUAGGUCCAUUAUCUGGAUCGGGGACAGUGCAUGGUAGGCAGUUUGACUGGGGCGGUCUCCUCCCAAAGCGUAACGGAGGAGUUCGAAGGUACGCUAGUUACGGUCGGACAUCGUGACGAUAGUGCAAUGGCAUAAGCGUGCUUAACUGCGAGACUGACAAGUCGAGCAGAUGCGAAAGCAGGACAUAGUGAUCCGGUGGUUCUGUAUGGAAGGGCCAUCGCUCAACGGAUAAAAGGUACUCUGGGGAUAACAGGCUGAUACCGCCCAAGAGUUCAUAUCGACGGCGGUGUUUGGCACCUCGAUGUCGGCUCAUCUCAUCCUGGGGCUGUAGCCGGUCCCAAGGGUAUGGCUGUUCGCCAUUUAAAGAGGUACGUGAGCUGGGUUUAAAACGUCGUGAGACAGUUUGGUCCCUAUCUUCCGUGGGCGCUGCAGAUUUGAGGAAGCCUGCUCCUAGUACGAGAGGACCGGAGUGGACACACCUCUGGUGUAUCGGUUGUCACGCCAGUGGCAUUGCCGAGUAGCUAAGUGUGGAAGAGAUAACCGCUGAAAGCAUCUAAGCGGGAAACUCGUUUCAAGAUGAGAUCUGCCGGGGCCUUGAGCCCCCUAAAGAGUCGUUCAAGACCAGGACGUUGAUAGGUCAGGUGUGGAAGCGG
rnacentral:rRNA from 1 species